rnacentral:piRNA from 1 species
UCGAUAGGACAGAUGAAGGUGUCCACAAAGU